rnacentral:sRNA from 1 species
CCAUACCCAACUUUGAAGACGAUCCCUAACAGGAUUACAGUCGUCCACCAGCAGGCAGAGGCAGAGGCAAGCUAGGCAGAAAAACAAGGUCAUGCUGCCUUUUUUUUUUUUUUUUUUUUUUUGGUAAGCACAGGAAUCAACAAAGAGAUGUUAUAUAACUUCUAUUUAUAUCCUACUUGCUCACUAGCUGCAGGCACACACGAGUAGCUGAGGAGGGAAUUUAAUGAGCUCUCAGGGCUUGCUCACCUUCCAGAGCUGGUAGGAGCCAGCUUGUUUUUGAAGUGCGUCAGCAAAUGAAACUGGUGGUGGGUGGGUGGUUUGGGUAGGUGGACUGACUUGUUGCUAUGGUUUUCUUUAAUUCCUCUGUCUCUCAA